rnacentral:rRNA from 1 species
UGGGGAAUCUUGCGCAAUGGGCGAAAGCCUGACGCAGCGACGCCGCGUGGGGGAGGAAGCUCUUCGGGGUGUAAACCUCUGUCGGGGGGGAAGAAUGGUCUCGGGAGGAAAUGCCCGGGAUUUGACGGUACCCUCAAAGGAAGCACCGGCUAACUCUGUGCCAGCAGCCGCGGUAAUACAGAGGGUGCGAGCGUUGUUCGGAAUUACUGGGCGUAAAGCGCGCGCAGGCGGCCUUUUAAGUCUGUCGGUCAAAAGCCGGGGCUCAACCCCGUGCUCGCCGGAGAUACUGGGAGGCUGGAGACAGGUAGAGGCAGGCGGAAUUCCGGGUGUAGCGGUGGAAUGCGUAGAGAUCCGGAAGAACACCAGAGGCGAAGGCGGCCUGCUGGGCCUUGUCUGACGCUGAGGCGCGAAAGCGUGGGGAGCGAACAGG